ensembl:lncRNA
UAGCUGGCUAUGCAAAACUUGUGGGUCUCGAGUCUUCACUGAUCUUCACUCAAGAGAGGCACAGCUGAGAACUUCUCCUGCUGUCCCUCUUGGUCCCUCCUGCCAAGGCCUGCCUAUCCCUGCUAGGUCAUGCCACCACUUCUGAUUUAUGUUUGCUAUUCUGGCUCUAACCAAACUGGACUGCUAGUAUAUCCGUAAAGUGUUUGCGAGUGGAUUGAGCAGCCGCUGCUAAUCUGUGAACUGAACUGCUGAUUUCCAGACAACAGAGAUGGGACUUGCUCCAAAGAACCUUAGAUACGCAAGAUUCUACUGAGUCAUGACCACAAGCUACAAGUAUUUUCAAACCUAAAUGUUUCACUCCUCACUUUUAGGAAAGGUAAGGGGAAGAAUAGUAUAUUUAUAUUUUAAUUAACGUAAUUUUAAAUCAAGGCUUAUGAAUAACUUGCUUGCUCUUGUUUGUAACAAUUGAGUCUGUUUCACAUUCUAAAGUAGAGAGUGAAAGGUGAAAAACAUUUUGAUGAUUAUAAACUCCUUUUAGUGACUGAACUUCUGGAUAAAUAUGCUUUCCUCUCUUUGAAUCUCUCAUCAAAAUUUCCUUUAGCCUCUUCAUGGAAACCUUUGUAUCUACAAAACUCAAAACCAAAAGAUCCACUGUGGGCUUCUGAACAGUCAGGCACCAGUGGAAAAGAGAGGCUCAACAUUAGGCAAGUUGAUAUAACAUGUUUGGUGCAUAACCUUCUGUCUUUUAUUGAAGUGACUUACAUGUCCAGUUGAAAAAUAUGUGAAGUUUCUGUUCAGGCCAUCUAGGACUUCCAUAUUUUCUGGAGGCAACUGGUUUUCAAAUACGAAUUUCACAAGGAGAAAAUGUUUUCACAAAUUUAACUUAUAAACAUGCCAAUUUUGAAAACAUAAACUAAUUGGAUUGGUACAGAUGCAAUUUUCAAAAUAUCUGAUAAAUCUGUAAAAGUAAUGAAAGGCAUGGAACAAAAUAAACAGGUUAUCAGGAACUAUUAGUCAGAAUUUUUAAAAUUAGUUUUUUUGUGCAUCUUUUAGUUAAUACUUUCAGAAGUUCACAUGAUCAACGGAUUAUUCCCCAGCUACCACCCCUCCCACUUGCUACUUUACUCACUCUCUCUUCUAACUGAGAGUUUACUUUUUCUUUAUCAUCUUUUGUCAUUAAACCCAUUUUGUACUGUCUACUUAUUUUUGGUAUUGAGAUAGCCAUACUGUGUGGUCAACUAUCAGUGGUUACAUCAUUAAGGCAAUCAAAUACACCAAUAACUGCCCAAUUGGUAACUUAAUUACAUGUGCACCUUACCCCUUCUUGCUAGAAUUUUGUCUAGCUGGAGCUUGUAAAUGUCUUGUGUAUUCUGUUACAAUCCCUGUGAGUUUAAGUGCACAUCUGCCCUGUUGUGUCUGAAAAACACUAUUUCCUUCAUGUUAUCAGCACAUCCAUUUUUUUUUAUAAUCUUGCUGCCUCUUCUUCUUCAAAGAUCCCCGAGCCUUUGGGUGAAAUAUAUUGAAAGUAUUCUCCCUGAGGAGACUCAAACCUAGCUGUAGAAUAAACAAAAAUGAUGUCAUUCAAUGACCACAGUGCUGUGUAACCUAAAAGUUCUGAAGAACCAUGAACAAAAUUUUUAAAUAUAGAAGUUCAUCUACUAAUUUGCCUAAAUAGAGUUAUAUUUGAACAAUGUGCUUUCAAGUAAACUUUAGGACAGGAGAUGUCCAGAUACAAAUUAUAUGUCAGGAUACAAUAACUGACUUGAAGAACACCUCAUUCUCUAAAUAUGUGGCAUUUUAAACCUCAAAAUGACUUUCAAGAAAAAACCCAAAAAGGUCUUAGGGAGAAAAGUCAAGGAUCAUCAAUCAAUUAGACUGAAAAAGCAUGAACUGACAUUCAUUCAAGACAAAUAAAUGCAUGAGCCCUGAAGUGUGUGAAAAGUUAGGGGAAUUCAAAGAUAUGAAUAAUAAUUUAUAAAAUAUAAUCACUCAGUAGAAAUCCCCGUUUCUGAAAACAGAGCUGAUAUUUGUACAAAUCUGACUUAGUGAUAGAUAUAAAUCUCUAUGUUUUCUUUCAGAUGAUGCUUCCUCUAUUAUUUGGUAUAAUCUGGGAGAAGAGUUUAAAUAAAAAUAAUUAAUUUUUAAAAUUUUAUUUAAUCUUUUUUUACACUCUAAAUUUUAUCCUCCUCCUAGUCCAUCUGACCCCACCCCCCUCUCCACGAGGAUGUCCCCACCUCCCCAUCCCAUUCUCCCUAUCCCCUAUCCCUGGGACCUCCCUUCUCUUGAGGGUUAGAUACAUCUUCUCUGACUGAACCCAGACCCAGAAGUCCUCAACUAUAUAUGUGUUGGGUGCCUCAUCUCAGCUGGUAUAUGCUGCCUGGUUAGUGGUCCAGUGACUGGGAGAUCCCAGGGAUCCAGGUUAACUGAGAUGGCUGGUCCUCCUACAGGGUGGUCCUCCUCCUCAUCUUCUUCCAGCUUUUCCCUAAUUCAACCACAG